CAGCUCAAGGUCGCAGGGGUCGUGGCUGCGGCCGGGCCCCCAUGCAGUGAGAGACCUGGUUGCAGCCACGACCCCUGCGACCGUGGU